rnacentral:rRNA from 1 species
UACGAAGGGGGCUAGCGUUGCUCGGAAUCACUGGGCGUAAAGCGCACGUAGGCGGACUCUUAAGUCGGUGGUGAAAUCCUGGAGCUCAACUCCAGAACUGCCUCCGAUACUGGGAGCCUUCGAGUCCGGGAGAGGUGAGUGGAACUGCGAGUGUAGAGGUGAAAUUCGUAGAUAUUCGCAAGAACACCAGUGGCGAAGGCGGCUCACUGGCCCGGUACUGACGCUGAGGUGCGAAGGCGUGGGGAGCAAACAGG